rfam:Picea glauca, whole genome shotgun sequence.
GACCGCAUAGCCCAAUGGAUUAGCGCGUUUGACUUCAUAUCAAAAGGUAGUGGGGGUCAACUCCCAUUGUGGUCG